UACGUAGGGUGCGAGCGUUGUCCGGAAUUAUUGGGCGUAAAGGGCUCGUAGGCGGUUUGUCGCGUCGGGAGUGAAAACGCCGUGCUUAACACGGCGCUUGCAUCGGGUACGGGCAGACUAGAGUGCGGUAGGGGAGACUGGAAUUCCUGGUGUAGCGGUGAAAUGCGCAGAUAUCAGGAGGAACACCGGUGGCGAAGGCGGCUUUCUGGACGAUUACUGACGCUGAGACGCGAAAGCGUGGGUAGCAAACAGG
rnacentral:rRNA from 1 species